AUUGAACGCUGGCGGAAUGCUUUACACAUGCAAGUCGAACGGCAGCACGGGAGCUUGCUCCUGGUGGCGAGUGGCGAACGGGUGAGUAAUGCGUCGGAACGUACCGAGUAAUGGGGGAUAACGCAGCGAAAGCUGUGCUAAUACCGCAUACGCCCUGAGGGGGAAAGUGGGGGAUCGCAAGACCUCACGUUAUUCGAGCGGCCGACGUCUGAUUAGCUAGUUGGUGGGGUAAUGGCCUACCAAGGCGACGAUCAGUAGCGGGUCUGAGAGNAUGAUCCGCCACACUGGGACUGAGACACGGCCCANACUCCUACGGGAAGGCANCAUUGGGGAAUUUUGGACAAUGGGGGCANCCCUNAUCCANCCAUUCCGCGUGAGUGAANAAGGCCNUCGGGUUGUAAAGCUCUUUCANCUGGAACGAAACGGUACGGGCUAAUACCCUGUGCUAAUGACGGUACCAGCAGAANAAGCACCGGCUAACUACGUGCCAGCAGCCGCGGUAAUACGUAGGGUGCGAGCGUUAAUCGGAAUUACUGGGCGUAUAGCGUGCGCAGGCGGAUUGUUAANCANGAUGUGAAAUCCCCGGGCUUAACCUGGGAAUGGCAUUUUGAACUGGCAGUCUAGAGUGCGUCAGAGGGGGGUGGAAUUCCACGUGUAGCAGUGAAAUGCGUAGAGAUGUGGAGGAACACCAAUGGCGAAGGCAGCCCCCUGGGAUGACACUGACGCUCAUGUACGAAAGCGUGGGUAGCAAACAGGAUUAGAUACCCUGGUAGUCCACGCCCUAAACGAUGUCAACUGGUUGUUGGGGGAGUGAAAUCCCUUAGUAACGAAGCUAACGCGUGAAGUUGACCGCCUGGGGAGUACGGUCGCAAGAUUAAAACUCAAAGGAAUUGACGGGGACCCGCACAAGCGGUGGAUGAUGUGGAUUAAUUCGAUGCAACGCGAAAAACCUUACCUACCCUUGACAUGUCCAGNNCCCUGCANAGAUGCGGGGGUGCCCGAAAGGGAAUUGGAACACAGGUGCUGCAUGGCUGUCGUCAGCUCGUGUCGUGAGAUGUUGGGUUAAGUCCCGCAACGAGCGCAACCCUUAUCAUUANUUUGCUACGCAAGGGCACUCUAAUGANACUGCCGGNGACAAACCGGAGGAAGGUGGGGAUGACGUCAAGUCCUCAUGGCCCUUAUGGGUAGGGCUUCACACGUCAUACAAUGGUCGGUACAGAGGGUUGCCAAGCCGCGAGGUGGAGCCAAUCCCAGAAAGCCGAUCGUAGUCCGGAUUGUUCACAGCAACUCGAGAGCAUGAAGUCGGAAUCGCUAGUAAUCGCGCAUCAGCAUGUCGCGGUGAAUACGUUCCCGGGNCUUGUACACACCGCCCGUCACACCAUGGGAGUGGAAACUGGCAGAAGUAGGUAGCCUAACCGCAAGGAGGGCGCUUACCACGCUGGGUUNCAUGACUGGGGUG
rnacentral:rRNA from 1 species